ensembl:lncRNA
GUCAGCACCAGACUGGCUUUUAUUGGUGGCAGGUGGAUAUGGCUCCUGCUGCUUUUGUCUCCUCCUCCCUUGCUUUGUUGAAUGCAGUCUCAUUUCAGAACGAGCAGUUUGCAGUGUGCGAAGUGAUGUCGUCCCACCUCCGGAUCAAAGGCUUGAAGAGAGAUUUUGGUGACAUCCCAGUUCCUGUCACCUCAUCCUAACCUUCUGAAAAAACAAAUGCAAAACUGCCUAUUUCCUCUAAGAAAAAUCCCACCUGGUGAUUUUCUGAUGGCUCCACAACAACUCUGAAGAUACUGUUGAGGCAGAAAGACUAAGCUAAGCGAGGCACUGGAAUAAAGCCAGCAUUCAGGUACAGAAUUGAUGGCAAAGCUGAAUUGUUACAGAGGAAAUCUAUAGAGGAACUCAAAAGCAAUUAGAAUAAUUUCAGAAUGUGAAAUGUAGAAAGCCCAUUCCCAAAUUGGCCUGAAAAUGUUUGCUUAAAAGUGAGUAAAAGCAACACAGUCCCACAGCCAGACAGAACACCUUAAGUUCAAAGAAAAGAAAAAAAUAAAGAAAAAGAAAGGACGCUAACAAAAGAAGAUGAUGUGAUUGACAAUGUGUUGGACAGAAUUGCAAUAUCAACGGAAAGCUCAUUACAUGAGGAAUUACCACACUUAAUGUCCAUCAGAUUGAAGAAUCCCAAGUUGCUAAGGUUGGGCUUGGAGACAGGGUAGUUUAAAUGGAUUUGUGUAUCACCUUGGUGACUGCACAGCAGACCUUGCCAAGGAGAUGUAAGGCACUGCACGAAGAAAAGUGUUACUUAGCCAUGGUCCUGCUGGAUCCGAGUUAAUGCAGUUCAGUUCUGUUUCCCCUGGUCUUAUUUCCCUUCAAUGAUUCAUCAGAAGCUUCUAGAUAGCUGCAAAAAUAUGAAACUUUAAACAAUUUUUGCUUUCGGUAGUGCCAUUAGCAUAGAAAAUUUAAAGCAAAGGUUAGUCAUCCACUCAGACAUGGUCAACAGCCUGCCUGCUCCAUGGCACUUUUCCAGAAGGUCUCAGAAAAAUCCAGAGCAGAUCAUCAUGCACUGCCUUUCCUGCGGUGCCUCCAUCAAGGUGGAUUGAGUCCCGUGGCACAAAGGGUGCUGUGGUAACUGUGAUAUCACCCCUCCUGCAUGGCACUGGAGUCUCUUCUUCCUUACUCACUCUCUCUGUGAUAUAUUAUGACAAUUUUGUACUGAGUAGCAAGUGUGCUGCAUUUAAUAACCAUUGAGCAGCUCGUGAAAACUUAAAGUAGUGAGCUGGCAAUGGGGUGGAUGUGGCUGGAUUUAGUGUCUUGGCCCAAGAAAUUUGACUUGUAAUUAUCUCUUUAAAAUACUCAUGUGGCUGGUCUUUCCAGGGCUGCAAAUGAGCCUUCUGAAAAAGAAAAAGUAAAUUAUAAUAUUUGCACAGAAAGGUGUAUUUAAAAACCUUCUUAACUUGGUUUUCCAUGAGUAGUGGUGAGAUCACUGCAAGCUGUAG